ACAGUAGCCCUAAGUUAUCGCCGUCUCCUUUCUUUUCUCCCCCUUCCGCCCGAUUUCCGCCAAACCAACCUCGCAACGGCGCCUCCACACUCGAGCUCACGGCGACACUUAGCCCGCCGAUCGCCCAAGCCCCCAGCCCGCUACCCCUGGUCUACAGCGUCACCGGAGGCCCUUCUCCUCAGAUUGCUGCUUCGCGUGAGGAAUCUUCGGUCGGGAGGAGCAGAUUUGAGCUCCGGUGACACCGAGGGUGGCAUCGCCUGUCCCAGAGCUUGAUAGUGGCGAGGACUUGUACUCCUGGCAGCUGCCUCGUAUCCCCGCACUUAAAGCCGAGCCGAUUUCCGUCGGGCUUCUCUCUGUCGUCUGUGGUAGUUCCUAGUGGUGAGGUAAGUGAGUCGCUUACUGUGAGAGGCUCGCACACAACCUCCCGUAGUUGUUCGUCAUCUGGGAAGCAGUGGCUCGGUAGGAGCCCUGGUCUGUGGAAUUUUGGCAGCCGGCAUCACCGGUGUGCUUGUGCCAGUGAUUCCAUCUCCGGCAGUAGCAUCUUCCGGCAGAGAGUCGACAGUGGGGAAUUCACUGUAAGGACUUUGAUCGAGGGGGUGUCAUGACGAAGUUGGCGUUGGAUUCAGCCUACACUUAGAGGCGAG